UACGUAGGGGGCUAGCGUUGUCCGGAAUCAUUGGGCGUAAAGAGCGCGCAGGCGGUCGUUCAAGUCGCGUGUGAAAGCCCCCGGCUCAACUGGGGAGGGUCACGCGAUACUGAUCGACUCGAAGGCAGGAGAGGGUAGUGGAAUUCCCGGUGUAGUGGUGAAAUGCGUAGAUAUCGGGAGGAACACCAGUGGCGAAGGCGACUACCUGGCCUGUUCUUGACGCUGAGGCGCGAAAGCUAGAGGAGCAAACGGG
rnacentral:rRNA from 1 species